UACAGAGGGGCAAGCGUUGUUCGGAAUUACUGGGCGUAAAGGGCGCGUAGGCGGCCUGCUAAGUCGAACGUGAAAUCCCUGGGCUCAACCCAGGAACUGCGUCCGAUACUGGUUGGCUUGAAUCCGGGAGAGGGAUGCGGAAUUCCGAGGUGUAGCGGUGAAAUGCGUAGAUAUCUGGAGGAACACCGGUGGCGAAGGCGGCAUCCUGGACCGGCAUUGACGCUGAGGAGCGAAAGCCAGGGAGCAAAGCGGGG
rnacentral:rRNA from 1 species